rnacentral:rRNA from 1 species
GAACUUUCCAGAGAUGGAUUGGUGCCUUCGGGAACUCUGAGACAGGUGCUGCAUGGCUGUCGUCAGCUCGUGUUGUGAAAUGUUGGGUUAAGUCCCGCAACGAGCGCAACCCUUAUCCUUUGUUGCCAGCGGUCCGGCCGGGAACUCAAAGGAGACUGCCAGUGAUAAACUGGAGGAAGGUGGGGAUGACGUCAAGUCAUCAUGGCCCUUACGAGUAGGGCUACACACGUGCUACAAUGGCGCAUACAAAGAGAAGCGACCUCGCGAGAGCAAGCGGACCUCAUAAAGUGCGUCGUAGUCCGGAUUGGAGUCUGCAACUCGACUCCAUGAAGUCGGAAUCGCUAGUAAUCGUGGAUCAGAAUGCCACGGUGAAUACGUUCCCGGGCCUUGUACACACCGCCCGUCACACCAUGGGAGUGGGUUGCAAAAGAAGUAGGUAGCUUAACCUUCGGGAGGGCGCUUACCACUUUGUGAUUCAUGACUGGGGUGAAGUCGUAACAAGGUAGGCGUAGAUGA